AGAGUUUGAUCAUGGCUCAGAUUGAACGCUGGCGGCAGGCCUAACACAUGCAAGUCGAGCGGUAGCACAGAGAGCUUGCUCUCGGGUGACGAGCGGCGGACGGGUGAGUAAUGUCUGGGAAACUGCCUGAUGGAGGGGGAUAACUACUGGAAACGGUAGCUAAUACCGCAUAACGUCGCAAGACCAAAGUGGGGGACCUUCGGGCCUCAUGCCAUCAGAUGUGCCCAGAUGGGAUUAGCUAGUAGGUGGGGUAAUGGCUCACCUAGGCGACGAUCCCUAGCUGGUCUGAGAGGAUGACCAGCCACACUGGAACUGAGACACGGUCCAGACUCCUACGGGAGGCAGCAGUGGGGAAUAUUGCACAAUGGGCGCAAGCCUGAUGCAGCCAUGCCGCGUGUGUGAAGAAGGCCUUCGGGUUGUAAAGCACUUUCAGCGGGGAGGAAGGCGUUAAGGUUAAUAACCUUGUCGAUUGACGUUACCCGCAGAAGAAGCACCGGCUAACUCCGUGCCAGCAGCCGCGGUAAUACGGAGGGUGCAAGCGUUAAUCGGAAUUACUGGGCGUAAAGCGCACGCAGGCGGUCUGUCAAGUCGGAUGUGAAAUCCCCGGGCUCAACCUGGGAACUGCAUUCGAAACUGGCAGGCUAGAGUCUUGUAGAGGGGGGUAGAAUUCCAGGUGUAGCGGUGAAAUGCGUAGAGAUCUGGAGGAAUACCGGUGGCGAAGGCGGCCCCCUGGACAAAGACUGACGCUCAGGUGCGAAAGCGUGGGGAGCAAACAGGAUUAGAUACCCUGGUAGUCCACGCCGUAAACGAUGUCGAUUUGGAGGUUGUGCCCUUGAGGCGUGGCUUCCGGAGCUAACGCGUUAAAUCGACCGCCUGGGGAGUACGGCCGCAAGGUUAAAACUCAAAUGAAUUGACGGGGGCCCGCACAAGCGGUGGAGCAUGUGGUUUAAUUCGAUGCAACGCGAAGAACCUUACCUGGUCUUGACAUCCACAGAACUUUCCAGAGAUGGAUUGGUGCCUUCGGGAACUGUGAGACAGGUGCUGCAUGGCUGUCGUCAGCUCGUGUUGUGAAAUGUUGGGUUAAGUCCCGCAACGAGCGCAACCCUUAUCCUUUGUUGCCAGCGGUUAGGCCGGGAACUCAAAGGAGACUGCCAGUGAUAAACUGGAGGAAGGUGGGGAUGACGUCAAGUCAUCAUGGCCCUUACGACCAGGGCUACACACGUGCUACAAUGGCAUAUACAAAGAGAAGCGACCUCGCGAGAGCAAGCGGACCUCAUAAAGUAUGUCGUAGUCCGGAUUGGAGUCUGCAACUCGACUCCAUGAAGUCGGAAUCGCUAGUAAUCGUAGAUCAGAAUGCUACGGUGAAUACGUUCCCGGGCCUUGUACACACCGCCCGUCACACCAUGGGAGUGGGUUGCAAAAGAAGUAGGUAGCUUAACCUUCGGGAGGGCGCUUACCACUUUGUGAUUCAUGACUGGGGUGAAGUCGUAACAAGGUAACCGUAGGGGAACCUGCGGUUGGAUCACCU
rnacentral:rRNA from 1 species